GACAGAGGGUGCAAACGUUGUUCGGAAUUACUGGGCGUAAAGCGAGUGUAGGCGGUCUGUAAAGUCGGGUGUGAAAGCCCCGGGCUCAACCCGGGAAGUGCACUCGAAACUGGCGGGCUAGAGUAUCGGAGAGGUUGGUGGAAUUCUCGGUGUAGAGGUGAAAUUCGUAGAUAUCGAGAGGAACACCGGUGGCGAAGGCGGCCAACUGGACGAAUACUGACGCUGAGACUCGAAAGCGUGGGGAGCGAACAGG
rnacentral:rRNA from 1 species